CAGAUUUAUUAUCCGUAUUGCAUUGUAAUAAUAUCUGUCUUUCCUUUGCCAGGAACAGUCACAGUAUCUGCAGUCCCACAUCAGGUCCCUGUUUGCUGAACUGCACCAGAUUCUCUUCCAUAGAGAACAACGCCUACUUAAAUAUCUCAGCGAUGAGAAAGAGAUGAUUCUAAAUACAAUGGAGAAAAAUAUUCAAGAGAUUCAAGUGUGUUUGAAUCUUAUGCAGCAGGAACUCCCAAUUUUACAGAAACAACUGGGUCAAGUAAAUGGUGUGACAUUACUCCAGGAAGAAGCUGGUCGGAAGCGAAGGGUUGGAUGUGGGGCGCAUACAUUGUCGGUA